UACGUAGGCAGCGAGCGUUGUUCGGAGUUACUGGGCGUAAAGGGUGUGUAGGCGGUUGUUUAAGUUUGGUGUGAAAUCUCCCGGCUCAACUGGGAGGGUGCGCCGAAUACUGAAUGACUAGAGUGCGGGAGAGGUGAGUGGAAUUCCUGGUGAAGCGGUGAAAUGCGUAGAUAUCAGGAGGAACACCGGUGGUGUAGACGGCUCACUGGACCGUAACUGACGCUGAGACACGAAAGCGUGGGUAGCAAACAGG
rnacentral:rRNA from 1 species